AAAGUGCGUUAAAAUGGAUAAUUUAUAAUCAUUCAUCUUGUGAUAGGAAGUGUGCGAUGCAAAAAAAUUGUCACAAAAUUCAACAGGAACACAAAGAAAAAUAGUUUAUUACUACAAAAAAAAACAACGAGAUAUUGUCAUGCGCUCUUAAUUGCGCCCCGCCGAAGGGGCGCACAUUUAGUGGACCGCGGGUAUAUAGUGUUUGUUUUAUGUAUGGGAGAAGUUUUUUUCUUACUCUCAACUUCGCGGGGGAACUUCGGCUCGAACAUCCAACCUAGGUUUGAUAUAACACAACCUGUGUGUUUGGUACCAUCGAGACAAAAAUAACACUGAUCGAGCAAAACUUAUCUUGUCUCGGUUUCUUUGUUGUCUCUGAAGAUUUGACUGCCAUAAAAAAUAUUAAUCGAGAUUCUUUUGUUAUGUUAAUUUAAAGCUUUGUAGUAUUGUCUCGUUUAAUAUGCUUAAAUGUCACUGCAGCCCACGUGAAUUUAUCUUCAAGAAAAGGUUGGUUUUUCUUUGUCCAAGUUGUUUCGAAACUUGUUAACAAUCAUUUGUUAUGAAACCAUGCACCAUCAGCAUUUUCGAAAAAUCUUUAACGAGAGAAAUUUUUAAGGAUUUUAUUGGUAACUUAACAGAGUAAUAAUUCAUUGAAAUUGAAAUUGUUCAGAAGUUAUUAUAUAUAUUCGAAUCGUGAAGUUCAUACAUAGCAAUCCUGCAUCCUGGAAUUUUCGAGAUCAGUUAUAAAAAAAUCCAGUUAAAGUUUUAACUAUUGUUUUAGAAUAUAUACUAUAUAUAUGUAAAAAAAAAAUUAUUUUUUAUUUAUCAAGUUGUAUUUUACGUUAAUUACAAUAAUAAUUGAGAAUUAGGAUA